rnacentral:lncRNA from 1 species
ACCGAAUUAAUGGUUUUAAAAUAAAUAAAAUUCAAAUAUGAAAGAGAAAUGGAGCCUUAAAAAGGCCAGAGGAAGGUAAGUAAUUAUCCUUUGUCAGCUACCAUAAUUACUGUCUCUGCCACCUCCCCUUCCUCCUCUUUCUUCUUACUCUCUAUAGGGAGUCUCUCUCACUAAUCUCUUUCUUACUUUGCAUUGUUUUUAUCACUCGCUGCUUCUUCAUCUUCCUCUUUCUCUCUUCACUGCAUGUUUGUCUCUUGACUAAAACUAUUCUCUCUGGUCUUUAUACUACCUGUAAGGUUUAACUCCUUAUAACCUUAGUUCGUUAACACGUUCGUUAUCUGCUUGUUGAUUGUUUAAGAAGAGAUUAAACUAAGCAAUAAGAACACACACGAAUUUAACGAGUUCCCAGCCUCAAACUGGUACGUCUCGUGGGAGACUGUCCUCCCAAACUUCACUAUGAAUAAGAGAGUACAAUCGAUCACGAUUGUGAUCAAGCUUGUGUAUAUGCAAGCUCUAUAUCUGAGAGUAAACGUAAAACCUUACAGCACAAGAAAGUCUAUCAGGUGUUUAUAUAGCUAGCAACAAUAAACCCUAACUUCUUGCUUUUGGGCUUUCGCAGGUGACAACGGAGACAGGCCCAUCCCAUGCAGCAUGCACUUAGACUUGGGCUUAGGCCUACAACCAACAAUCUCCACCUUGUGGGCUUGAGCCCAACUUCCACCAACCCUAAUGCCAUCUCCGUGUUUCUCUCUCUCUUGUCCGAAAACGCGAUCUCACUCGCAAUCUUCUCUCUCUUCUCAAUCCCUGUGAAGUCUCGAUCUUCUCGAGCUUGCUCCGGCGGUGUUCCUCUCUUCAGAGCUCCACCGUCUUCUGUGUUGCGAGGAAUCUCUCAAGACUAGAUGGAUCCAUGUUGAACCCGUCAUUUCUCUUCCUCGUCUGUGCAGACUGAUCUUGACGUCUUCGAUGAGGCUUGACGAAACGAGCUUCGAUUCUGGCCAGGAACCGCGUUUCUCUCCCCUCUGAGGUCUAGAUCGAUCGCUUCUGCCUCCAUAAUUCGUCGGCGUCAACACGAGCAACAUCAUUGAGUCUCCUUCGUCGCCUAUCUCCGGCUUCGAAACUCCUUCGAUGCCUAUCUCCGGCUUCGACCAUAUAGCUCAGGUAACCUUUGAGCUUCCUUUUCUCUUUGAUUCUCUUCUCAAUUCGCUGAUCUUUCUCCAACUUUCAGAAAAAAAAAAAAUAUUGUUUCUGACUCUUGGCCUUUUACAGCUUCUACCGAGAUGAUAUCAACUUUCCACAAGCUUCUUAUAUGUCCGAAACAACUUCUUCUGCUCCAGACUACACACUUGUCCCUGAAACUCCAACAAAUUUCAGAACCUUCCUCUCCGAUGCUCACUUCUUCGGCUUCGGAUACUCCACCUGCUCCAGAACACUCGGUAAUUACUCAAUCAAACUCGCUCUUCUCCUUUUGAUUUAUAUAAUUUUAUUAGAAUCUCACACUCCCUAGAACUCCACCGUAUUGAUACUAACGAGUCCUUGUUGCUUUGAUUGUGAGGUGUUGGCUUCUACUUCCGAGUGCUCCGCAGGUCCCAGUCUCCUCAUAUCACGUUGAGGAUACCCAGACACACAUCAAACUUGUUUCCAGGUACUCCUUUAGUUAGCAUGUCUGCUGGGUUUAGAGAAGUAUGAAUCUUAGAAACCUUGAUAGUGCCUGCUGUGAUGUGAUCUCUGAUGAAGUGUAGCUUGUAGUCAAUGUGUUUAGUUCUUUCGUGAUGCACACUGUUCUUAGCUAGACUGAUAGCGCUCUGUGAAUCACAAUGAAUUUCUACUGAAUCUUGCUCGAAACCCAAUUCGAUGCAAAUGCCUUUAAGCCAUAAGGCUUCUUUGACAGCUUCUGUGAGAGCCAUGUAUUCAGCCUCUGUGGUUGAUAAAGCCACCACAUGCUGAAGCGUGGAUCUCCAGCUGACUGUAUUACCACCAACCUUAAACACAUAUCCUGAAACAGAUCUUCUUUUAUCCAAAUCUGCUGCGAAAUCUGAAUCACAAAACCCCUGAAUAUCAAUCUUUUCAUGCUUCGUAAAUGUCAAACAACUUCCAGCUGAUCCCCUUAGAUAUUUAAGGAUCCAUUUCACUGCUUCCCAGUGAACUCUACUUGGUCUUCCCAUGAAACGACUUACUAAGCCUACUGCAAAGGCCAAGUCUGGUCGAGAUCCUAUCAUACCAUACAUGAGGCUCCCAACUGCGCUGGCAUAUGGUACAGAGCCCAUGUAGUAGAGUUCAAAAUCCGCUUCUUCAUCACUUAAACUCUUCAUCUUGUACUGGCUGCUAACUGGAGUGAUUACAGACUUUGCAUCCUCCAUUCGAAAAGUCCUAAGUACUUUCUUAAGGUAGCCUUCCUGAGAUAGCUUUAGUGUUCCUUCUUUUCUGUCUCUGACAAUAUCCAUUCCAAGGAUUCUUGUAGCAGCACCUAGGUCUUUCAUUUCGAAUUCAUUUUCAAGAUUCUUCUUUAGCACCUUAAUGGCUUUCUUGUCCCUAGAUGCAACCAACAUAUCAUCGACGUAUAGCAGUAGGUACACCCUGUCGUUGAUAUCUUUCCCCUUGAAGUAGACACAAGGAUCAUAGACACUUCUGCUAAACUUCUGUUCUUUCAUGAAACUAUCAAAUCGCUGGUUCCAUUGCCGUGGGGAUUGCUUUAACCCAUACAGAGAUUUCUUAAGCCUCCAUACGUAAUCUUCCUUCCCUUUUUCAAUGUAACCUUCUGGUUGACACAUAUAUAUCUCUUCCUCAAGUGUUCCAUUUAAAAAUGCUGUCUUUACAUCGAGUUGCUCCAACUCCAGGUUGAAGUUGACUGUGAUUGACAACAUUAAGCGAAUGGAAACAUGCUUCACCACAGGAGCAAAAAUCUCAUGAUAAUCGACUCCUUCUACCUGGGUGAAUCCUUUUGCAACCAGUCUGCCUUUAUAUCUAGGCUUUUCAACUCCUGGUAUUCCCGGUUUUCUCUUGAACAACCACCUGCACUCGAUGACUUUCUUACCUUCAGGUUUCUUUACAACCUCAAAGGUCUCAUUCUUCUUUAGAGACACCAUUUCGUCAUCUGCAGCUAGUUUCCAGUGCUUCCAGUCCUUGCUCUUAGUUGCUUCGAAAUAGGAACCAGGUUCAUCUUGCUCUAUAUCUUCAGCGCUGGCAAGAGCAUAAGCCACAAAAUCUGCGUUCUCAAACCGAGACGGGGGUCUGAUUUCUCUCCUCUGUCUGUCUCUUGCUAAGAUAUAGUUGUCCAAGUUUUGCGCCUCAGAACUUUCUUGGUCAUUAUCAGCUCCCUGAGACUCACUUUCAGCUUCGGAGCUUUCUGAACUUUCUGUCUCAGAGCCAUCAUGUUCAGCAGAGUCUUCAUCAUCCGUAGAACCUUUAUCUCCAUUAGUGUUGAGAUUACUAGGUCCCCUUAUCAAGUCUGUGCUGAAAGAUACUCGUUUCUUCUUCUUCUUUUCUUUAACUUCCUCAGAAACUGAGAUGUCUUUGAAUACUCUUUCUUCAUCGAACACGACGUUUCUGCUUAUGGUGCAUUUUCCUUCAUCUGGGAUCCAGACGCGAUACCCUUUAGUUUCAGGAGGAUAUCCCAUAAAGACGCCUUUAAUAGCUCUAGGGCUCGUCUUAUCUUGUGUCACAUGCACAUAAGCAAUGCUUCCAAACCUCCUAAUAUGAUCAAGGCUUAUCUUAGAGCCUGUCCAGAUUUCUUCAGGAAUUUUAAACUCUAUGGAUGAGUUCGGUGAUCUGUUGAUGAGAUAGACAGCAGUAGAUGCAGCAUGAUCCCAAAAUUUCUUCUCCAGACCAGUCUCGGAUAUCAUACAUCUAACCUUAUCCAUGAUCGUCCUGUUCAUUCUCUCGGACACUCCAUUUUGCUGGGGUGUGUAGGCACAAGUCUUAUGCCGUUUGAUCCCAGCUUUCUUGCAUAAUUCAUCAAAUCGAUUGUUACAGAAUUCCAAACCAUUAUCAGUUCUCAAACACUUAAUUUUCUUCCCUGUCUGAUUUUCCACCAAUAACUUCCACUCUGCAAACUUCUCAAAUGCUUGAUCCUUGCUGUUUAAGAAUCUGAUCCACACCUUCUUAGAGAAAUCAUCCACGAAUGUAAUGAAAUACUUGCAGCCUACUUCAGUCUCAGUGUUUGAAACUGAUCCCCAUAAGUCGCUAUGAAUAUACUCCAGAAUCCCGGAACUCUUGUGCUUUGCUGUAGGAAAACUAAGCUUGUGAGACUUUCCUAACACACAUGUCUCGCAAAAAUCUAGUGAGUGAACUUCCUUCUCACUUAGAUACCCUUUCUUAACUAAGAUGUUCAUGCACUUCAAGCUCAUGUGCCCAAGCCUUGAGUGCCAUCGAUUUGUUAAGUUUACUGAGGUCCUCACCACUGCAGCUUCUCCUUUAAUGACUUUGCCUUGAAGAUAGUACAAACCAUCCUUGUACUUUCCUGAGAUAACCUUCUGUUUUCCUUUAUAGAACUGCACUUUGAAAUCUUUUCCUUCAUAAUGGCAGCCAUUCUUCUCAAGCUGUCCGUAAGAGAUCAGAUUCUUUGUCAUUGAAGGAAUGUAUCUCACAUCGGUGAGAAUGAUUUCAGACUCAUCUGAAUUCAGUAUCUUCAGUUUUCCAAUGCCCUUAACAUCACUCUGCGUGUUGUUUCCCAUCAACACCGUUCCCCCUUCACAUUCCUGUAGAUCAAAUAAUGAUUCUUUGUCUGGGGUGAUAUGGAACGUACACCCUGAGUCCAGCACCCAUUCAUCCUUUGUAGACACGGUGCUAGCUGUUAGAAUCAUAGGUUCUCGUGGCUUAGUAGUCACGUUUACCGAUCCAGGAGCUUUAGGAUGUUUUCUGUCUGGGCAAUCCCUUUUCCAGUGGUCCUCCUUUCCACACACGAAACAGCCCUUGCUGUUCUUCGUGUAUCUAGGUUUGGACUGAGAUCUUCCUCUUCCCUUAGAUUUGCCUCUCCCAUUAGGACCACUUUUCUUAUCUGAUCUUCCCCUAGCAUCAACAUAUAGACCUUCUGCGUCCGCCUUAGGUCUUGUUAACAACCCUUUUUCCUUGAGUUCUACUUCCUUCGAGUAUGCUGAAGUAACAACCUCAUUGAUUGUUAAUGUGUCUUUGCCACUGCCGUAUUUCAGGGUAUGAACUAGCUGCUCAUACUUGGUUGGGAGGCUCGAUAAGAUUUGUAUCGCCUGAUCUUCCUCAGGUAUGUUGAUGUUGAGACUUUCGAGAUCAUCCACCAGCUUAAGAAAAUCAUUCAAAUUCUCUUCAAUACUCUUGCUUUCUUCCAUUCUGAAACUUGCAAAUCUUUGUUUCAGGUAGAUCCGAUUCGGCAAGGUCUUUGUCUGGUAAUCUACUUCUAGUGCUUUCCAAACUGCGAGUGCAGUCGGCUGCUUUCUGAUCUUCCUCAGUAUGGUGUCGUUAACACUCAUGCAGAUCAGAUUCUUGCACCUCCGGUCUUUCUCUUCACUGACCGGUUCAGGUUUGAUUUCAACAUCUUUACCAUCUGCAUCCUUAGUGCUCGAUUCUGGUUUAGACUCACUUAAGCACCUGUCUAGACCUAGAAUUUCAAGCUGACACAGCAUCUUGUAUUUCCAUAAACCGAAAUCACCUUUGCCAUCGAACUUCUCAACGUCGAAUUUGCCUUUGAUUGGUUCCAUUGACUUGUGAUUCUGAUUCAAAACUCUUUCUCCUUCUCAGGUACCCUUGCUUUUCUUGCAACGCCCACGAGACUGGUUUAGCACAGACUUGUUCUUAACCUAGAACGCUCUGAUACCACUUGUAAGGUUUAACUCCUUAUAACCUUAGUUCGUUAACACGUUCGUUAUCUGCUUGUUGAUUGUUUAAGAAGAGAUUAAACUAAGCAAUAAGAACACACACGAAUUUAACGAGUUCCCAGCCUCAAACUGGUACGUCUCGUGGGAGACUGUCCUCCCAAACUUCACUAUGAAUAAGAGAGUACAAUCGAUCACGAUUGUGAUCAAGCUUGUGUAUAUGCAAGCUCUAUAUCUGAGAGUAAACGUAAAACCUUACAGCACAAGAAAGUCUAUCAGGUGUUUAUAUAGCUAGCAACAAUAAACCCUAACUUCUUGCUUUUGGGCUUUCGCAGGUGACAACGGAGACAGGCCCAUCCCAUGCAGCAUGCACUUAGACUUGGGCUUAGGCCUACAACCAACACUACCAGAGAGGAUCAUCUCUAGCGACAAUGGCUUCUACUUCAGGCAGUGUCGGGGGAGAAGUAACUGGUGUACCGCCGCUUGCUAAGUCAGCUCUACCGC